rnacentral:rRNA from 1 species
UACAGAGGGUGCAGGCGUUGUUCGGAAUUAUUGGGCGUAAAGGGCGCGUAGGCGGUGCGGUAAGUCUGCGGUGAAAUCUCCCGGCUCAACUGGGAGUCUGCCGUGGAAACUGCCGUGCUUGAGUGUGGGAGAGGUGAGUGGAAUUCCCGGGUGUAGCGGUGAAAUGCGUAGAUAUCGGGAGGAACACCUGUGGCGAAAGCGGCUCACUG